rnacentral:lncRNA from 1 species
ACUGUUAUGUUAUACAGGUUCAUGCUAGAAAGGGUCCCCACUGCAGACCAUUGUGCUAAGCUAUUAAGGGAGAUUGCCCAUCUUAUUGUGUACAAUUCGUACUUUAAGUUCCAUGGUUAUAUAUAUAGACAAAGGAGGGGUGUGCCCAUAGGUGGGCCUCUUGUGGGCAUACUGGCAGAGCUUGUUGUCAGGUUUAAAGAGAGUGAUGUCUUAGGAGGUAUACUUAAAGGAAGUUAGAUUGUAUCAGAGAUAUGUCAAUGACGUCUGUGUAAUAUGGAAAGGGCAACAACAGAAUGACAGGCUUAUAGCGGACCUAUCGGAUAAGACCCCGG